AUGAAGAACGUAGCGAAAUGCGAUACGUAAUGUGAAUUGCAGAAUUCAGUGAAUCAUCGAGUCUUUGAACGCACAUUGCGCCCCCUGGUAUUCCGGGGGGCAUGCCUGUCCGAGCGUCAUUGCUGCCCUCAAGCACGGCUUGUGUGUUGGGCCUCCGUCCUCCUCCCGGGGGACGGGCCCGAAAGGUAGCGGCGGCACCGCGUCCGGUCCUCGAGCGUAUGGGGCUUCGUCACCCGCUCUUGUAGGCCCGGCCGGCGCUUGCCGACACAUCAAUCUUUUUUCCAGGUUGACCUCGGAUCAGGUAGGGAUACCCGCUGAACUUAAGCAUAUCAAUAAGCGGAGGA
rnacentral:misc_RNA from 1 species